ensembl:lncRNA
GGGGCACCCCGGGAGUGAAGGGUUAACCCUUCUCAGUGGUUGUUGUUCCUGGGGCACAUCCAGUAUUCAAAGAACCCUUGUGUGGUAGUUUGCAUGUUAUUGGCCCCCAUAAUCUCACAGGGAGUGGCACUAUUAGGAGGUGUGGCUUUGUUGGAGGAAGUGUGUCACUGUGGGGGAGGGCUUUGAGGUUUCCUAUGCUCAGGAUACUGCCCAGUGUCUGAGUCCACUUCCUGUUGCCUUCUGAUCAAGAUGUAGCCAGCACCGUGUCUGCCUGCAUGCUGUCAUGUUCCCUGCCAUGAUGAUGAUGGACUGAACCUCUGAACUGACCUUCUAGUCAACCAAUAUUAAACCUCCCCUCCUCCAAAUCUUCCUGGAAGGAAUCAAAGCUCCAGAAAACUCUAAAAUAUUACAACAGUGAACACCUACGUGCAGACGGUGAGGGUUCUAAAAUCAGGUGUGGCUUUCAAUCUACAGUAUUGUGUUCAUCGGACCUGGGGCAAGUAAUUUAAACUCUCCAAACUUCCGUUUCCACAGCCAUAAAAUUGUGGGAAUAUACCUCAUGAAGGUCCCAUAAAGAAACACUUAAUAUCUGCCAAAUAAUUGCUGAAUGCCAGACUCAGAUGUAAGGGCUAAAAGUCUUAACUCACUUAGAAAUUACAAGUACCUUGGGAGAGUCCUGUUCAUCCUCAUUCUGAAGAUGAAGAAAGUGACAGACGGGGCUGCAGAGUGGUCACGAGCCCGCGCUGCUUCCAGAAAGACCCAGUUCAGUUUCUGUCACCUGCAUCAGGUGGCUCACAACUUCCUGAAACUCCAAUCCCAGGGGAUCUGACAUCCUCAUCUGGCCUCUGUGGGUGCUUACAUGUGUGUGUUGUGUAUACAUGUACUCAGGCACACAUACAAAUACAGAAAAUAAAGAUAGGCAUUUUGUCCCUUAAAGUGAGGGACAAAGAGGAUUUAAAAAAAUAAAAUGAGUUCAAGGUCACUCAAUGGAAUUGUAGAAUUACAAGUGGAACCAAAUCAUCUCACUGCAAAGCCAGGACUCCAGAGCACUGACCCAGCAAUCUGCCUUAGUGGCAACACCCCACCUUCCCCAGAUGGGUCUGAAGAGCAGCUGGAUUGGGAUAAGGAGAUGAGGACACUGACAAGGCCAGUGUCUUGUCUUGAAUUCUAUUUCCAAGAAUUCCCCAAGGGACAGCAGCAUCCAAAACUCCCUAAGGACCCUGCUGGCUCAGUGUGUGGUCAGUUCUGAACAGCCCUCCACUGUCUAAUUGCCACAUCAUUCAAGCAGCUCAUUUAUGAGAGCUUUUUAUUAUUCCCCAGGGAGUGUGAAAACCUCCUCAUGAAUAUCUCAUCCAAAAUGCCAGAGGCAAGAUUGACUUAGCCAGGAUCUGUGGCAGAUGAGGUUCUGUGAGCUAGAGGCUGGUUGCCCUUAGUCAGGUGUCCACUGUAUGCCAUCACAAACCAAAGAGAACGAGUGCAGCCACAUGAGCCGAGCUUUGAUCUCACAGGUGCAAGCAAAUCCCAAACUCUCUCUUGGCAUCGCUGUAUCUGGUGCCACACUCUAUGCUGAGUGACUGACUUACACAACCCAGUCUAAUCACCGUGAGGACAUAAUUAUUUUAUUGAUCACACAGAUGUUGCAAAAGGCGCUCCAAUACUGCCACUUCAAGCCGUUGACCUCGGAGACCGGAAGAGGGCAUCAGACCCCGAAACUACAGUUACUGAAGACUCUGAGAAGUCCAAGAUGGAGGCAUGUGUUUCACAGCUCAGAGAGGUAAAAGCACAGGCCACUCAGGCCUGACAUCGUGAGUUCAGUCCCCAGAAACCACACAAAAAGCUAGAUGCCAUUGUGUGUAUCUGCAGUCCCAGAACGCCUGUGGUGAGAUGGGAGAUGGAGCUGGGAUCACUGUCUUAGCUAGGGUUUCUGUUGCUGUGAUGAAACACCAUGACCAAAGCAAGCUGGGAGAAAAGAGUUUAUUCAGCUCACACUUCCACAUCACUGUGAUCACUGAAGGAAGAGGGCGGGAACCUGGAGGCAGGAGCUGGUGCAGAAGCAUGAAGGAACGCUGCUUACUGACUGGUUCCCCACGGCUUGCUCAGCCUGCUUUCUAUAGAGCCCAGGUCCAUGCACUAUGGCGGAGCCUGCCCCAUCAAUCACUAACCGGAAAAACUGCUUUACAGGAUUGCCUG